UUGCUUCUCCUAACUCCUUACUGCAUCUCACCCCUAGGGAGGAAAUUCUGAAGUGCUUCAUGUCAAUACUCAGUUUUCCAGUGUCCACUGCAAAGACAAGGUCCUCCCUGGAGAGUGUCGAACCUCUCUGCACUCACACAACAUCCAUGGGAACUGGCGAGCACCAACAAAGAUUGUGCAGAGAUUUUCAGCUGAAUCAUAUUCACUUUGGUUGUGCAUCUGAAGGUACAACUGAAUUCCUGAGCAGAGGUGCAAAUUGAAGCUCCAACCCAGCAUUACAUUGAGACAAAACUCUUCUUUCUACAUGCCUUCCUUUGUGAAUAAAG
rnacentral:lncRNA from 1 species